AUUGAACGCUAGCGGGAUGCUUUACACAUGCAAGUCGAACGAGUGGCGGACGGGUGAGUAAUAUAUCGGAACGUGCCCAGUAGCGGGGGAUAACUACUGGACAUAGUGGCUAAUACCGCCUACUAUUGGAGCGGCCCAUAUCGGAUUAGCUAGUUUGUGUGGUAAAGGCUCAACAAGGCAACGAUCCGUAGCUGGUUUGAGAGGACGACCAGCCACACUGGGACUGAGCCACGGCCCAGACUCCUACGGGAGGCAGCAGUGGGGAAUUUGGUACAAUGGGUGAAGUCCUGAUCCAGCCAUCCCGCGUGUAUGAGAAGGCCUUCGGGUUGUAAAGUACUUUCGGGAGAGAGGCGGUAUCUACAGAAGAAGCACCGGCUAACUACGUGCCAGCAGCCGCGGUAAUUC
rnacentral:rRNA from 1 species